UCUUGAUGUCUGAGUAAAUAAUUCUUAGGCCAUGAUUCCUGUCACCUUAGGUCGAUCGGUACCUCAAGUUGAUUUUCAAUGAAAAAACUACAAAAUAGUUUUUUGGAAAUUGGUUUCAGUUCCUAAACUUUGUCUAGGUCACACCCCGUAAGGUUACUCCUGGGCCAUUAGCUCAGGUGGUUAGAGCGCACCCCUGAUAAGGGUGAGGUCCCUGGUUCAAGUCCAGGAUGGCCCAUUCGGUGUUGGGGGUUUAGCUCAGUUGGUAGAGCGCCUGCUUUGCAAGCAGGAUGUCAGCGGUUCGAGUCCGCUAACCUCCACUGAUUUGAUCUGCUACCUCUAAAGCCAAAAGGAGAUUAACCAUGCUUUUUAAUGUGAUUUAGGCAAUUUGUCCGCUGAAAAGAACCUAGCUUCUUAUCAUUCCAAAACUCUAUUUUAAUUUGUGAGUGGCUGAUAGGACGCUGGGCUCACUGUGAGUCAAAUGAUUUACAGAGUGUUCGGCAGAACCUUGACAACUGCAUAGAUAAGUCUGGAAAGAAUAAAGCAUCUCAUAGAUGCAUGAUUUUGUUUCCUAUUUAAUUACAGAUAACUGCAAUUGCAUUUAUCUGUAAUUAAAAUCGGUUACAGAAUUUAUGUUUAAUUCUUUGAGCAAAAGCCGAGAAGAUAUCUAUAACG
rnacentral:tRNA from 1 species